GGGCUUGUGGUCUAGUGGUAUGAUUCUUCCUUAGCAUGGAAGAGGUCCGGGGUUCAAUUCCCCGCGAGUCCA